UACGUAGGGUGCGAGCGUUAAUCGGAAUUACUGGGCGUAAAGCGUGCGCAGGCGGUUCGCCGUGUCCGAUGUGAAAGCCCCGGGCUUAACCUGGGAAUGGCAUUGGAAACUGGCGGGCUGGAGUAUGGCAGAGGGGGGUGGAAUUCCACGUGUAGCAGUGAAAUGCGUAGAGAUGUGGAGGAACACCAAUUGCGAAGGCAGCUGGCUACACGAAUAUUGACACUGAUGCACGAAAGCGUGGGGAUCAAACAGG
rnacentral:rRNA from 1 species